rnacentral:rRNA from 1 species
GGGAACUCCAGGGAGACUGCCGGUGAUAAACCGGAGGAAGGUGGGGACGACGUCAAGUCAUCAUGGCCCUUACGAGUAGGGCUACACACGUGCUACAAUGGCGCAUACAGAGGGCGGCCAACUUGCGAAAGUGAGCGAAUCCCAAAAAGUGCGUCGUAGUCCGGAUUGGAGUCUGCAACUCGACUCCAUGAAGUCGGAAUCGCUAGUAAUCGUGGAUCAGAAUGCCACGGUGAAUACGUUCCCGGGCCUUGUACACACCGCCCGUCACACCAUGGGAGUGGGCUGCAAAAGAAGUAGGUAGUUUAACCUUCGGGGGGACGCUUACCACUUUGUGGUUCAUGACUGGGGUGAAGUCGUAACAAGGUAGCGCUAGGGGAACCUGGCGCUGGAUCACCUCCUUAAACGAUGAU